UACGAAUGGGGCUAGCGUUGCUCGGAAUCACUGGGCGUAAAGCGCACGUAGGCGGCUUUUUAAGUCAGGGGUGAAAUCCUGGAGCUCAACUCCAGAACUGCCUUUGAUACUGGGAAGCUUGAGUCCGGAAGAGGUGAGUGGAACUCCGAGUGUAGAGGUGAAAUUCGUAGAUAUUCGGAAGAACACCAGUGGCGAAGGCGGCUCACUGGUCCGGUACUGACGCUGAGGUGCGAAAGCGUGGGGAGCAAACAGG
rnacentral:rRNA from 1 species